GCGCCCGUAGCUUAAUGGAUAGAGUAUUGGUUUCCGGAACCAGCGAUGCGGGUUCGAUUCCCGCCGGGCGUA
rnacentral:tRNA from 3 species